rnacentral:rRNA from 1 species
GUGGGGAAUAUUGGACAAUGGGCGAAAGCCUGAUCCAGCCAUGCCGCGUGUGUGAAGAAGGUCUUCGGAUUGUAAAGCACUUUAAGUUGGGAGGAAGGGCAGUAAGUUAAUACCUUGCUGUUUUGACGUUACCGACAGAAUAAGCACCGGCUAACUUCGUGCCAGCAGCCGCGGUAAUACGAAGGGUGCAAGCGUUAAUCGGAAUUACUGGGCGUAAAGCGCGCGUAGGUGGUUUUGUAAGUUGGAGGUGAAAUCCCCGGGCUCAACCUGGGAACUGCCUCCAAAACUGCAGGACUAGAGUACGGUAGAGGGUAGUGGAAUUUCCUGUGUAGCGGUGAAAUGCGUAGAUAUAGGAAGGAACACCAGUGGCGAAGGCGACUACCUGGACUGAUACUGACACUGAGGUGCGAAAGCGUGGGGAGCAAACAGGAUUAGAUACCCCUGUAGUCC